AUGGCGACGGCGAGCGGCCUCUCCGCCCCUCUGCAGCUCCUCUCGUUCCGGCGGGCGCCCGCCAAGAACCUCUCGCCGCGGAGAGCAGCCGCGGGAGCUCUGUCAGGUUCACUUAUUGUGAAGAGAUUUUCUUUAUGCAACGGGAGAAGUCAUCACCAAUUUUUACCAUUGAAACAAAGGGGAAGGUUGCAAGCAGCAGUACUACCUGUUACUCCACCACUGCUUGAUGAUGAGGAAAAAAGGAAGCAAAUGUCUGAAGAUUAUGGUUUCAAUCAAAUUGGAGAACAGCUACCAGAUAACAUUACUCUUAAAGAUGUCAUGGAUACUCUGCCUAAAGAGGUAUUUGAAAUCGAUGAUGUAAAGGCUUGGGCAUCUGUUCUGAUAUCAGUUACUUCAUAUGCUUUCGGUCUUUUCCUUAUCUCAAAAGCUCCAUGGUAUCUUCUUCCCGUUGCUUGGGCAUGGGCUGGUACAGCAGUGACUGGGUUUUUUGUCAUAGGUCAUGAUUGUGCACAUAAAUCAUUUUCAAGGAAUAAGCUAGUGGAGGAUAUCGUUGGAACUCUAGCUUUCCUGCCAUUAAUUUACCCUUAUGAACCUUGGAGAUUUAAGCAUGACAGACAUCACGCCAAGACAAAUAUGUUAGUAGAAGAUACUGCAUGGCAACCUGUUUGGCAAAACGAAAUUGAAUCGUCUUCUUUCCUAAGGAAGGCAAUUAUAUUUGGUUAUGGUCCUAUCAGGCCAUGGAUGUCUAUUGCUCACUGGUUGAUGUGGCACUUUGAUCUAAAAAAAUUCCGGCCAAAUGAACUCCCUAGGGUGAAGAUAAGUUUGGCGUGUGUCUUUGCAUUCAUGGCAAUUGGAUGGCCCCUAAUCAUUCUUCAAUCAGGAAUAGCUGGAUGGUUCAAGUUCUGGUUCAUGCCAUGGAUGGUUUAUCACUUUUGGAUGAGCACCUUUACAAUGGUGCAUCACACUGCUCCUCAUAUACCUUUCAAAUCAUCAAAAGAGUGGAAUGCUGCACAGGCGCAAUUAAACGGCACAGUUCACUGUAGCUAUCCUCGAUGGAUAGAGAUCCUUUGCCAUGACAUAAAUGUACAUGUCCCGCACCAUAUUUCUCCGAGAAUUCCAAGUUAUAACCUUCGUGCUGCCCACGACUCCAUUAAACAGAACUGGGGCAAGUAUAUCAACGAGGCCAGCUGGAAUUGGCGGUUGAUGAAGACAAUACUGACUACGUGCCAUGUGUAUGACAAAGAGAGAUACUACGUUUCUUUUGACGAGCUCGUACCUGAGGAAUCUCAACCAAUAAGAUUCCUUAAGAAGUUCAUGCCAGAUUAUGCUUGA
rnacentral:rRNA from 1 species